UACGGAGGGAGCGAGCGUUGUCCGAAGUUACUGGGCGUAAAGCGCACGUAGGCGGCUUUGUAAGUUAGAGGUGAAAGCCCAGAGCUCAACUCUGGAACGGCCUUUGAGACUAGAGGACUUGGGUACGGGAGAGGUGAGUGGAAUUCCGAGUGUAGAGGUGAAAUUCGUAGAUAUUCGGAAGAACACCAGUGGCGAAGGCGGCUCACUGGCCCGUUACCGACGCUCAGGCGCGACAGCGUGGGGAGCAAACAGG
rnacentral:rRNA from 1 species